GCCAGACUCCUACGGGAGGCAGCAGUGGGGAAUAUUGGACAAUGGGGGGAACCCUGAUCCAGCGACGCCGCGUGAGCGAAGAAGUAUUUCGGUAUGUAAAGCUCUAUCAGCAGGGAAGAAAGAAAUGACGGUACCUGACUAGGAAGCCCCGGCUAACUACGUGCCAGCAGCCGCGGUAAUACGUAGGGGGCAAGCGUUAUCCGGAUUUACUGGGUGUAAAGGGAGCGUAGACGGCAUGGCAAGUCAGAUGUGAAAGCCCGGGGCUCAACCCCGGGACUGCAUUUGAAACUGUCAGGCUGGAGUGCAGGAGAGGUAAGUGGAAUUCCUAGUGUAGCGGUGAAAUGCGUAGAUAUUAGGAGGAACACCAGUGGCGAAGGCGGCUUACUGGACUGUAACUGACGUUGAGGCUCGAAAGCGUGGGGAGCAAACAGGAUUAGAUACCCGCGUAGG
rnacentral:rRNA from 1 species